GGAGUUGACUAGACAAUCGCUGCUUCUUUGUAUUUAUAGUACUUAAAGAUAGUCGGUGUGAUUACAAAUGAGGGGGAGGAAAGUCCGGGCUCCAUAGGACAGGGUGCCAGGUAACGCCUGGGAGAUGUGAAUCUACGACAAGUGCAACAGAAAGAAAACCGCCUAUAAUUAUUUUAUAAUAAAUUAUAGAAAUUAUAGGUAAGGGUGAAAAGGGGUGGUAAGAGCACACCAUUCGAAUUGGUAACAAUUCGUGUUAUGUAAACUCCACUCGGAGCAAGGCUAAAUAGAAGUUCUACAGUAUGGUCCGUACUGAACUUGGGUAGGCUGCUGAAACUAUCGUGUGAACAUUAGUUUAGAUGAAUGAUUGUCCAAGACAGAACCCGGCUUAUCGGUUAACUCCUUGU
rnacentral:RNase_P_RNA from 2 species